rfam:Apaloderma vittatum contig7538, whole genome shotgun sequence.
GGCUGGUUAGCUCAGUCAGUUGAGCAUGGCGCUAACAAUGCCAAAGUUAUGGGUUCGAUUCCCAUUCAGUCC